rnacentral:rRNA from 1 species
GCGUAACGAUUUGGGCAAUGACUCAACAACAGACUCAGUAAAAUUGUAAUUCCGGUGAAGAAGCCGGAUACCUGCGACAGGACGGAAAGACCCCAUGGAGCUAUACUGUAGCUUGACAUUGGGUCUUGGUACUACAAGUACAGGAUAGGUGGGAGGCUUUGAAACCAGGACGCCAGUUUUGGCGGAGCAAUACUUGGGAUACCACCCUUGUAGUACUGGGACACUAACCAUAGGCCAUGAAUCUGGUCUUGGGACACUGUCAGGUGGGCAGUUUGACUGGGGCGGUCGCCUCCCCACAGGUCACGUAGGCGCUCAAAGGUUCACUCAGGCAGGUCGGAACUCGUACGUCAG